CGAUCCAUAAAUUGAUUUCACCACUCGAUUAUUUCUUAUUUUCUGAUUCGCAACUGAUCUCCAUGGAUAUACCAAUUUGAUUUUGCAUUCACGAUACGUAAUCCGUAUGUUUCUCCGCCAAGGAUUUUCGGUUAUCAUGUUGUCAAUUGUAGCAACAACGCGUCGUCAUCUUCAGUGUUACGAUAACAAUCUUCGCUUCUGUUAGGGGCCUUUGCAUGCGUUAUAGCUGGUGAUUGGAUGUAUACAACAGAGGAGGUGUAAUUGGAACCCUGUGCUUCAUAUGCAGAAUUACUUUUCUUUGACCAAGGUGUUGUACGAGUUGCAACAGGUGACGUGGAGGCGUCAACGACAGAAUUGUGGUGGAUAGUAGGAUCUGGUGAUGAGUGGAGUGUCCGAGAAAAAAGUGUAAGAGAUCUGGUGGUGUUGGGUCCAGAUGGGUCAGAAUUCAACUAUUGCCAAAUGGGCUAGCAAGUUGUUAAAGAAUGGAAUAUUAGAUUAUGAUGAAAAAGAUGUCACCCUUGUGAAGUGCAACAAUGGAUACAUACAUAUAUCAACUACGAGUAUCAAUAUUGAAAUUGGGAAAUAGCUAAAGAGUUUGUUGAAAUGUUAACUCCGUGAUUCCAACUACCGAAUGGGUCAAGGGAAAGCAUAUGGAAGAAGUUCUGACCAUCAAAAACACGUGAGUUUUGGUCCUUUUUUCUCUAGCGUGCUCGAACGAAUAUGCGUUUAUUUUUCUAUUUCUUAUUCUUUUUUUUUUAUAUUUUCUAAAUUCACUCUUCAUUAAUAAGGGGUUAAGGGUCUUUUGUUUCUUUGGUUUGGUUUUGUUGUAUAGACCUCCCUGCUUUGUUUUUUCUCUGUUAUGUGGUGAGGUGCUAGACUUUUGGUUUGGUGUUGAAUGAAAGUAAAUUUUCUAAAAAAAGACUAUAUAAGUUAUUUUUUAGAGGUUAGGAUUAAAUGCUUAAUUUGAUCUUCUUCGAUU